rnacentral:tRNA from 1 species
GGUGGCUCAGUGAUAGAGUGCUUGCCUAGCAUGCAAGAAGCCCUGGGUUCGAUUCCUCAGUACCA